AAACCAGCACCUCAAGUGGUCAGGAGGAUUAUUGGGCCUAAAGCAUCCGUAGCCUGUUCUAUAAGUUUCUGGUUAAAUCCACUAGCUCAACUAGUGGGCUGCCGAAAAUACUGUAGAACUCGGGAGUGGGAGAGGUAGACGGUAUUCGGUAGGAAGGGGUAAAAUCCUUUGAUCUAUUGAGGACCACCUGUGGCGAAGGCGGUCUACCAGAACACGUUCGACGGUGAGGGAUGAAAGCUGGGGGAGCAAACCGGAUUAGAAACCCCAGUAGUCC
rnacentral:rRNA from 1 species